rnacentral:lncRNA from 1 species
AGAAAUUUUAACAUUUUUAAUCCUAGUGACGACCGUAACACUACUUUGCAACUCAAAUUAUGAUUAAUUUCAAUAAUCGAAACAUGGUUCGAAUUAAAACCGUACCCUAUAAACCAAGAGUUUUUUCAAUAAAUAGUCACUACACAGUAUGCCUCCAAUUAACUUACAUUCAAAAAUCGAAGCCUCGAAUCUGAAUUAUUAAUGCAGUGUCUCUAAUUAUAUAAUCAAGAAUAUAUUUUUGAGACCUAACCAAUUUGUCCAAACCAAAAUUUACAACAUCAUCACAGCCCUCAACAAUGGUUACACCAUGAAAACAUCAACUAGAACAAUCAUCAUCCAAAUAAGUUUACAAAUCAUUAACAAACUCAAUAAAAUCAUAAGAAACAAAACAUAGAACUAAAGAGUCAAAACCGAGUCGGGUUAAAAUGAAACCAAGUCAAUUCAAUUCGGAAAGCAUUCCACGAAGACAAAUUCAAAUUAAGCUCAAACUGAAAUCGACGGAACAACACGAGAAUAGUCAGAACCGAACCGGAGUUGAAUUCGGAACUCACGUAUGAUGUUGUCCCACACGUACAGCUCCGAUCAAUGCACCGACCACCACGUCUCUCCGCGAUACCCGCAACACUAACAACGGAUUCAUGCGUAAACCGCCGGAAUCGAGUUCACAACCACACCCAUCCACUAAACGAUGCACCCUCAUGCCGACCAGAUCCGUCGACAUAUCUUCCGCCGGAAAACCACGAAUUAGUCACUACCAACCACCAUCGCCCCACUGGUGAAUCGAUCGCCAUCGUCGGACUCCUCCGCAAUCUCCGCCGUUUGUUUCAGAUCUGUUACACUUUUAUCAAUCCACUCUUUCUUUCCACUUAAAAAUUGUUGUUCUUCGUGAGUGAUAUUAGUAUGAUAUAUUGAUUUUAUUUGAGAUUGUUUGAGGAGAAAGCUUGAAUUUGGGAAAAUUGGAGUUUUGAAGUUUUUUCAUUCUGGGUGUAGUUACUGGAAGUGAGAAAAAGAUAAAGAGAAUUUUAUUCUCUUUCUUUAUGCAUCACCGUGGCUAGAGAGAAGAGUAUAUAUCCGUUUAUCAUUUGACUAAAAUACUAAUUCAUUAUGUUCUAUGUUUUUAUUUUUUAUUUUUAAUAUAUGCCACAUGUCGCGAUGUGGUUGGACGGUCAAGAAGUCAAUGAGGAGCACUCUUUUAAUGUCCAG